CAAGACUUAUCAAUAGCAUUGUGGCUUCCUCCUUACUCUUCCUUGAUUGUUCAUUCUAAGGGAAGCCAGCUGCCCUGUUCUGUGAACUCUCAAGAAGCUCCUUGAAGAGAACCAUGUGGCAGUUAUUGAGGAACCCAGGACUCCUGCCAACAGCCAUGUGUGUAGCCAUCUUGGAAGUGACUCGUCUACUUUCAUCUUCUGAUGUCUGCAAGCCAGCCAACAUCUUGACUGCAACUGCAUGAGAGACCUUGAACCAGAACCACACAGCAUAGCCACUCCAGACUCCCUGACUAUGAGAUGAUAAAGGGUUCAGCCUGACUGUACCUCCAAGGAGACCUCCUCCAGGAAGACCCCUUUCCUGGCUGGCACACGUAUUUGUUGUUGUUUUGCAGCCUGUGUGUGUUUCCUCCACAGGAGGAAUUACUCUGCAAAGUUAUAUUAGGUGCCUGUUUGCAUGUUGUUGUCUGUCUUCCCCUCCAAAGAGUACCUUCCAUUAUGGUAGAGGCCACAUUGGACUUGUUUAUUGUAGCAUCUCCUAUUCUUGGCAUGGUGCCUGGCAUGCAGUAGGUACUCAAUAAAUAUUUAUUGUGACUCUUU